GAUGAAGAACGCAGCGAAAUGCGAUAAGUAAUGUGAAUCGCAGAAUUCAGUGAAUCAUCGAAUCUUUGAACGCACCUUGCGCCCUUUGGCUAUUCUGAAGGGCAUGCCUGUUUGAGUAUCGUGAACACCUCAACUCUCAUGGUCUGCCAUGAUGAGCUUGGACUUUGGGGGUCUUGCUGGCCUACUGUCAGCUCCUCUCAAAUGAAUCAGCUUACCAGUGUUUGGUGGCACCACAGGUGUGAUAACUAUCUACGCUUGUGGUUUUCUGCCAGGUAACCUCCAGUGAUGGAGGUUCGCUGGAGCUCACAAAUGUCUCUCCUCAGCGAGGACAGCUUUUUGAACGUUUGAUCUCAAAUCAGGUAGGACUACCCGCUGAACUUAAGCAUAUCAAUAAGCGGAGGA
rnacentral:misc_RNA from 1 species